CAUGACGUACAGCAUGCCAGUGUUUCACAAGACAGUGCGAAAGAAUGCUGGCGCCUGCAGCAUUACAGAUAGCGUCUGCACAGUGGCAUAAUGUUGAAUUGUGGACAAAUUAUAUUGGUUCCCUACAGCUGACUGCGACUGGCCUGGUCAAAAGAAAAGCAUUUAAACGAGGCCCCCUUUCAGCCAUGUGCUCUGGGACUCCCUUCUGAAUAAGUACCUCAAUGUGUGCAUUUGAUUACAAAUAAACAAAGAUCUCCCUCUCCCUCAAAAAUGCCCACCUGCCUGUCUCGCGCGAAAACCUAGAUUCGGACUUGAUUUGAACAGCUGCUCCAAGCCAACCAGUCGAGCGUACCAUCAAAGUGCAUAGCAGACCUGGAACUACAAGCAUAAAUUUCAAGCUGAAGCCGCUGGUGCCACAGUGUGAAGCAGUGUGUGUGCAACCAUGCCUGAACAAAACAAACAUGAGAAAACAAACAAGAAGGCACAUUUCUUUUUCCACAUUUGCCAACGUCUGCAACAUUGCCGAUUAAUAUUCAGAGAUUACUUAAUUUUUAAGCAUUAGCACAUUUAGCACCCUAUUAUGCCAUGAAUACACUGAAAUUUCUAGUAUUUAGGCACUGAGUAGUGUUCUACAUUGUUUCUCCCCAUUUGCAUUUCAUUCAAGUGUGACAGUACAAAAGUACAGCUGCACCUCACUUCAAGGUGGCACAGAUUGAUACAAAACUUGCACAGAGUUGCAAGCAUGCACAAACGCAGAAAAAUUAUUUUCUUUGGGCACCUUCUGUGUGCUCCCACUGGUGCAAGGUGCCAGUUAGAGAAAGACAAUCCAUGUUCAGCCAAGCCAAAGCCAAGACAAGCUAGGCAAAACAAAGCCAAGCCAAGUCAAA